ensembl:lncRNA
CUAGACUGACAGUCAAUCAAACCUACAGGAGCUGUGUUCUUACAGGCAAGAUGUCACGUUAUACAAACUUCUCUGCAUACAUCUCUUUAAUUCCAGACUCGGACUCUUUGCAUAUCCACACUGAGAUCAGCCCUCCCAAGUGUUGGAUGCUUGCAAAGGAGAAGAAACAAGGCAAAGGAACUCCGGUGGUUUUGUGUGCUGCUCUCUCAUGCCUUGUUGAAGAGUAGGAGUGGCUGGAUAACAUGUGAAGAAGCACUCUAGUUUACCGCAGGCCAAAGUGAAAAAACUUGCUGCAAAUGAUUUGUUUCUUCGUCUCUGUGCUCAUUUGGGAGAAUGGAGCAGAUACUGACAGCAGGGUGUUCUGGGAAGGAGCAGAGAUGGCAACUAUGUGCCCUGAACUUCUGUGAGGGUAUUUCCGAGGUCAUCAGCGGUCCCAUGGGGGAAAUGAGUCAGCAAAAGCGUAACUGCAGAUCUCAGCGACCGCUGCGAGGAGCACCGCGUUAUCCCGAGCAGCUCUGAGUCACCGCGCAGCCACGGCCGUGUCACAGAGCCGAGAACCGCUGCCAGCGGAGAGGGACCCUUCUCACCUCCCACCGCUAUCAAAUGUCACCCACCCAUCUAUCUCAGCGUCCCUCAUUAUGAAGCUCAUCACUCAUUUCAGAAUGGGCGUUCCACGCAGAACGCCGCAUCCUCUCACUUUAUUAACAGCCAGCAGGGCUGACAUUGCACUUCGCGGGCACCGCUGCAGCGUCAGGGCGCGCACAGCCCCGCCUCGCCUGUAAGCCGCCGCCGCCUCAGG